GACGAACGCUGGCGGCGUGCUUAACACAUGCAAGUCGAGCGAUGAAAUUCCUUCGGGAAUGGAUUAGCGGCGGACGGGUGAGUAACACGUGGGUAACCUGCCUCAUAGAGGGGAAUAGCCUUCCGAAAGGAAGAUUAAUACCGCAUAAGAUUGUAGUUUCGCAUGAAACAGCGAUUAAAGGAGUAAUCCGCUAUGAGAUGGACCCGCGUCGCAUUAGCUAGUUGGUGAGGUAACGGCUCACCAAGGCGACGAUGCGUAGCCGACCUGAGAGGGUGAUCGGCCACAUUGGGACUGAGACACGGCCCAGACUCCUACGGGAGGCAGCAGUGGGGAAUAUUGCACAAUGGGGGAAACCCUGAUGCAGCAACGCCGCGUGAGUGAUGACGGUCUUCGGAUUGUAAAACUCUGUCUUCAGGGACGAUAAUGACGGUACCUGAGGAGGAAGCCACGGCUAACUACGUGCCAGCCGCCGCAGUAA
rnacentral:rRNA from 1 species